rnacentral:tRNA from 1 species
AGACUUAUAAAUUGAUCAUGAUGUCCAGAUAUUUAUUUCUUAGGCCAUGAUCCUGUCACCUUAGGUCGAUCGGUACCUCAUUUGAAUUGCAUAAAAACUUUUUUGUGAUUUGAAUCAGUUCCUAAACUUGUCUAGGUCACACCCAACAAGGGUUCCUGGGCCAUUAGCUCAGGUGGUUAGAGCGCACCCCUGAUAAGGGUGAGGUCCCUGGUUCAAGUCCAGGAUGGCCCAUUCGGUGUUGGGGGUAUAGCUCAGUUGGUAGAGCGCCUGCUUUGCAAGCAGGAUGUCAGCGGUUCGAGUCCGCUUACCUCCACUGAUCGACCUCCUGAUAACGAAGGCAAGGAAAUUUUGUUGAUUGUGAUUUAGGCUUAGUUCAGCUGAAUGAACCUAGCUUCCUAUCAUUCCUACAUCUUUAGAUUUCUAAUAGAUAAGGUUGACAGGACGCUGGGCUCACUACAUUUUCAUUAGAUAAAUGUAGAAAGAGUUCAGUAGAACCUUGACAACUGCAUAGUGAGUCUGGAAAGAAUAAAGCAUCUCAUGGAUGCAUUAUUCUUUAUAUUUCAUUUGAAAUCAUUUCUCUUGAUAUAUAUAAAGAAUCAAUGUAAAUUCUUGAGCAAGAUUAGAAACUCUAUAAAUAAUUUAUUACUUGUUUAUAGAGUUUAAU